AAAAAAAAAAAGUUAUUGAAGUACACGGUGCUAAUUUUAACCUUAAUUAAUAAAUUUAACAACAAAUACAUUUUUGCCAUCUAUAAAUGAGGCACAUGGAUAAAUAGCCCAUAUAAUAGCUACACAAAGUCCUUAAUUAAAAUUACAAAAGCUUCAUUAAAUAUCCGCCAAUUAAAAUUACGUACACACCUCAAACUACACAUACACUCUACCUAGCCCACCUA
rnacentral:lncRNA from 1 species